UACAGAGGGUGCGAGCGUUGUUCGGAAUUACUGGGCGUAAAGCGCGCGCAGGCGGCUCUUUAAGUCUACCCGUGAAAUGCCGGAGCUCAACUCCGUGCACGCCGGGGGAUACUGGAGAGCUGGAGACGAGUAGAGGCAAGCGGAAUUCCGGGUGUAGCGGUGGAAUGCGUAGAGAUCCGGAGGAACACCGGAGGCGAAGGCGGCUUGCUGGGCUUGGUCUGACGCUGAGGCGCGAAAGCGUGGGGAGCGAACAGG
rnacentral:rRNA from 1 species